rnacentral:rRNA from 1 species
GACGAACGUUGGCGGCGUGCUUAAUACAUGCAAGUCAACUGAAGCACCGGUAGUAAUACUGGUGUGGAGGUGGCGCACGGGUGAGUAACACGUAGGUAAUCUGCCUUCAGGUCUGACAUAACCCCGAGAAAUCGGGGCUAAUAGCAGAUGAUGCAGCGGCUUGACAUCAAGACAGUUGUUAAAGCUUCGGCGCCUGAAGAUGAGCCUGCGUCUGAUUAGCUAGUUGGCGGAGUAAUAGCCCACCAAGGCGACGAUCAGUAGCUGGUCUGAGAGGAUGAUCAGCCACACUGGAACUGAGACACGGUCCAGACUCCUACGGGAGGCAGCAGUAAGGAAUAUUGCUCAAUGGGAGAAAUCCUGAAGCAGCAACGCCGCGUGAGGGAUGAAGGCGUUUUGCUCGUAAACCUCUGUAGUGAGGGAAAAAUUUCCAUUCUAUGGAAUAUGAUGGUACCU